rnacentral:rRNA from 1 species
GAGUUUGAUCCUGGCUCAGAACGAACGCUGGCGGCAGGCUUGACACAUGCAAGUCGAACGCGUGUAGCAAUACACGAGUGGCGCACGGGUGAGUAACACGUGGAUAUCUGCCUUUUGGUUCGGAAUAACUCCGGGAAACUGGAGCUAAUACCGGAUGGUUCCUUCGGGAUAAAGAUUUAUCGCCAAAAGAUGAGUCCGCGCACGAUUAGCUAGUUGGUGAGGUAAUGGCUCACCAAGGCGACGAUCGUUAGCUGGUCUGAGAGGACGAUCAGCCACACUGGGACUGAGACACGGCCCAGACUCCUACGGGAGGCAGCAGUGGGGAAUAUUGGACAAUGGGGGCAACCCUGAUCCAGCCAUGCCGCGUGAGUGAUGAAGGCCUUCGGGUUGUAAAGCUCUUUUGG